rnacentral:piRNA from 1 species
UUUAGAAUAUUUCGAUUUUAA